CAAGGCAUUGUAAGGUUGUGCACAAAGGUACACUGAUUUGCCUUGUGGCCUAUCUUUCUCCUAUUAUCUGUCUUCACGUUAUUGUGUCCUUUUGGGGAGAUGUUUUGCGGUAUUCUCAGAGUGACAUGUUCCUGGUCCCUCAUCACCAACACAACCCCUUCAUUGGCGAUUGAAUACCCAGUGCACAUGCUCUGGAAUCAUUCUAAAGUUUCACUGAUCUUUAGGAUCAUAGGCUUUCUUUUAUAUACUUGUUUUGUGUUUUUUUUUUACAUGAAAGGGUUGGGUGAUUAAGUUUACCAAGAUCCUAUUUGGGUUCUGAUUAGUGUUGGACUUGAUCUGUUUUCCUUUUCUCAUCAAACAUGUAUAGCAUGAUAACUAGUGUUUAUUCUUGUAGAAAUAAAGUUUUUAGAUUUUCUCAGAUUUAUAACAGUAAGAUCACUUCUUACUGUUAAAGAUUAAUGAUUAAGCAACUAGCAUUGACAGCCACAUUGUGGAUUGAAAUGGAUCUUCCUUAAAAAGAGUAUCAUUUUUCCUGUGGGCUAUUAUUCUUUGUCAGGCAAAAGAACAAGAAGGCCCCGUCAUUUUUGUCAGCAGUUGUUGCAGAACAGGGAUAACAUUGCAGGCUGCCUCUGUAGAAAUCAAAGAGGUAAAGUGCAGUACCCAAAGCUGUCCAUAUGUUUAUGGACCAUCAUGGGCUUCAUAAUUUUAACAACGCCAAGAGAGAGAGAGAGAGGGGAUGCCCUUUUAAUUGUGUUUGAUUUGUUACUGAAGAUGGAUCUUUUUGACUCAGAAUAUGGACGCUAUAAAUAAUUGAGAUGCUCGUGUGCCGCAGUGGUGGUGGGAUCAUGCCAUAAUUGAGCGCCCAUGUGAACUAUGGACAGCCACCGGCAGGACACUUUCCAGCUUCCACGCUUUGGACUCUUGUGAAAGCAAUGUGUAGAAGGACUGCUGUGUGGUAAGCCAGUCUUAUCUUUUGACGAUUGGGAAUUCUCAUGUUGGACUCCCAUCUCAUCCGAGUCAUUGCUGCCAUAAGAAGACAUUAAUUAUUUCUAGGCUUACAAAAGAAAAAUUCUUUUUGUGUUUCUUCAGCUCUAAAAUUCUCAAAGUACAUAAAAUUUGCUUAUACUUUGAAAUUAAUUAUCUUCAGGUUUCUUGAAGAAAUUAAUUAUUUCUAGGCUUACAAAAGAACAUUUCCUUUUGAGUUUCUUCAGCUCUAAAAUUCUCAAAGUACAUAAAAUUUGCUUAUGCUUUGUUGCUCCAAUUGUGAUAGAAAGAAUGAAUCACAUUGUAAUAAACACCAUGGAAACUGAUACAGCGUUCACCACCCACGUACGGUCAUCAUGCAUACACUACACUCUCCCCCUCCACCAUGCAAAAGAAGGAAGACCGAACGUGAUGAGUCACGGCAGGGAAGGUGAUGAACACGUCGCUCAGCAGAGGAGAUAACCGAAGGCCAGGGCGGCCACCGACGCCAGGGCCGCGGCAGCGGUGGACGACGUGGGGGUGCCGGAGGUGGGGCUGGGGGCGGGUGCCUGCGCCGCCGCGGCCUUCUGCACCAUGGACGCGGCCAUCACGACGGCCAUCAUGGCCAUGGCGAACAACUUGAGCUUGAGAGCUGCCUCCAUUGCUAGUAGCACUUUAAGGCACAACUACCGAGCACAGAGGAAUGGAGGGAGGAGAUGUAGAGAGGAGGCAAUGCAGUUCGGGCCGUGGAAGGAGGGGGAGGGAGAGGAGGGUUUUUGUAAGGAGACUACCAAGCUUGGGUCUGGGACAUGACAGGCUGUUUUCGCUUGUGUCUUCUUCCUCCUCCUCCUCCUCCUCCAUGUGUUUUGUUAGUUGGAACGUCUUAACAUACACGCUGUCGGAAGAGAUUUCCUUGUUUGUGUUCUCUUCCUUCUUUCUUUGUUCGAGGAAGAUGGGUUGUCCAUAGGUUGGUGCCAAAAUCUAGCUGGAAUGACAAUUGCAUGAUCCAAACUUUAGCUGUGCCCAAUCUGUCAAGAGCAACCACCGAUCUUUGAUUGUUUGUUCUUCUUUCUUCUUUAGCUGCUUCACUGUCUUCAAAGAAUUCCAUCAGAAGCUGGAGGAAGACUUUGUCAAUGGAACUCGGUUUCUGGUCACAUUUCUUCUGGAUGAAUUUUGGGAUGCAUGAUCACUCUCGAUAAUAAUUUUAAUGGUGUAAUUCUAUUAGAUUACUUGUUUUUUUAUUUCUUUUCAUCACAG
rnacentral:lncRNA from 1 species